GAACCUUACCUGGGCUCGAAAUGGAGUGGACCGCGGUAGAAAUAUCGCUUCCCCGCAAGGGGCUGCUCUAUAGGUGCUGCAUGGCUGUCGUCAGCUCGUGUCGUGAGAUGUUGGGUUAAGUCCCGCAACGAGCGCAACCCUUAUUACCAGUUGCUACCAUUUAGUUGAGCACUCUGGUGAGACUGCCUCGGAUAACGGGGAGGAAGGCGGGGAUGACGUCAAGUCCUCAUGGCCUUUAUGUCCAGGGCUACACACGUGCUACAAUGGCCGGUACAAACCGUCGCAAACCCGCGAGGGGGAGCUAAUCGGAAAAAGCCGGCCUCAGUUCGGAUUGGAGUCUGCAACUCGACUCCAUGAAGCUGGAAUCGCUAGUAAUCGCAGAUCAGAACGCUGCGGUGAAUACGUUCCCGGGCCUUGUCACACCGA
rnacentral:rRNA from 1 species